GAGACCGUACCGCAAACCGACACAGGUGGGCGAGAUGAGUAUUCUAAGGCGCUUGAGAGAACUCGGGAGAAGGAACUCGGCAAAUUGGUACCGUAACUUCGGGAAAAGGUACGCCCCGGUAGCUUGAUUGGUUUACUCCAUGAGGGUGAAAGGGUUGCAAUAAACUGGUGGCUGCGACUGUUUAAUAAAAACACAGCACUCUGCAAACACGAAAGUGGACGUAUAGGGUGUGACGCCUGCCCGGUGCCGGAAGGUUAAUUGAUGGGGUUAGCGCAAGCGAAGCUCUUGAUCGAAGCCCCGGUAAACGGCGGCCGUAACAAUAACGGUCCUAAGGUAG
rnacentral:rRNA from 1 species